rnacentral:piRNA from 1 species
UAUGAAUCUAGGUAGCAGCUGAGGCUCUA